GACGAACGCUGGCGGCGUGCUUAACACAUGCAAGUCGAACGAAGUGGCGAACGGGUGAGUAACACGCGAGUAACCUGCCCUCUUCUUUGGGAUAACGGUCGGAAACGGCUGCUAAUUCUUGCUAGUGGGGGAUGGGCUCGCGGCCUAGCAGCUUGUUGGUGGGGUGAUGGCCUACCAAGGCUUUGACGGGUAACCGGCCUGAGAGGGCGACCGGCCACAUUGGGACUGAGAUGCGGCCCGAACUCCUACGGGAGGGAGCCAUGGGGAAUAGUGCACAAAGGGGGGAACCAUGAUGCAGCAACGCCGCGUGCGGGAGGCCGGCCUUCGGGUUGGAAACCUCUUUCACGGUAGUGGAAGAAGAAGCACCGGCUAACUACGUGCCAGCAGCCGCGGUAAUUC
rnacentral:rRNA from 1 species